AGCCUGCCCUCGCCUCUCCUCACUCCACGCUGCACGUUUUCCUGAACACGGCCACAUUUCAGUAAGGUGGAACUUUCUGUCAUGUGAUAAAAGCAUCGGGUUGGACACAAUGAGGGAAAAUGUGUGACCAGUUUCGACCCUGCGUUUACCACGUGUUUCGGGAAGUGUGGACUGGCCGUGGGCUCCAGAGGUGACUCUUCCAGAAGGGAACGCCAGGACAGGAGACUUUCCAGCAGCCACAAGGUACCUGUUCUGUGCGGGGGGAGGGCUGCUUGGGGUCGGGGUUCACCGGUCAGCACGGUGGCCCUCGGUGGCCCGUUGUGGACACAACAGAAGCCAACAGAGGUGAUAUUCACGCCCCGCGUUCCCGUGGGGGCCUGUGGCUCUGUCCUGCGGCCUCAGGUCAGCCGUGACCGCAGUUCGGGGGCUCUGGCCCGGCUCCACACCAGCUCUGCCCUCUUUACGCAGGUCUGGGAUGUCCUGUCCUCGUGGAAGAGGCACCAGAAAGCCCCAGAACAACAAGAGGAUGCCUCUGACAGCACCUGCACAGGCUGGUCACCUGGCACGUCUGCCCCUGGUUCAGGGCAAGUGACAUGGCAGGGGCAUCGUCCCAGGGCCCGGAGGCCACACCCCAUCCAGGAGGCACAUGGCUGUGACCCAGUCAGUGGUCAGCAUCUGCUUGUGCAAGCAGGCCAGGAAAAAAGCCCCCCUCCCUGCUCCACACACUUUCAGGUGCCCAGGCAGAAACCUGACCUCAGCUGGACGGGAGGAAAGGAGAGGGAAGGAGAGGCAUCUGGGGGCUCACCCAGCUCCAAAGCCGUGGUCUGAGCAGGAGGGAACCACACAGUCCUUCCUGCUGGGCAUCCCUCGCUGGCCUCCCUUUUUCUGCGCUGGUCCUCCUUGACUCACACAGUUCCUGGUCUGUCCGUGGCCAGAAGGGCGUUGUGAGGGGCCAGGCCUGAGGCCACACUACUGGAAUCAGAACAGAGUGGGGCCAGCGUCCAAGAGGAGCAGAAGGGACAAAGGUCCUGGGCGCCCAGGAGGAAGAACCCAGACCAGUCUACCUGUUCUCCCAGAUCCCUUCGUUUCCCCUGCAGCCUGGAGCUGACAAGUCCUGACAGUUGCCUCGGGCGUUGGAAGGGACCCCAGGGGGCAUGAAGAUGUCACUUCUCUGCUUGGUGGUGGCCUCACCAGAAAGACCAGCUUCUGCUGGAUUGUUUCGCAGGUCACCGAGGAGGAACCGCUCAUCAGAGUCAGUCCCCUGCUCCUCACUUGAGAUGCUGGUGUCUUCUGCCCUAAGGAGGGGCCUCUCUGGGGACAGGGACGGUCACGUGCCAGACAGCUAUGGCUGUGUCAACUGGUGCCACAAGCAUGGGCUUGAGCAACAGAUGUUGGUCUUCUUGUGGUUCUAGGGGUCAGAGUCCUGGAUGGAGGGGUCACAGGGCUGGUGGCACUCCUGAGGCCUCUCUGCUGGGCGUGCAGAUGGCUGCCUGCUCCCCGUGUCCCUGAAUGGACGUCCCCUCUGUGUGUGCCUGUGUCCUGAUGUCCUCUUCUUAGGAGGAUGCUAAUCACACGGCCUGAGGGCCCACCCCAGUGGCCUCAUUUAACAUAGUUAUCCUUCAGAGACGCUCAAUCCAAACACACUCACACUGGGGACAUUGAGGUUAGGGCUUUGCCCUGUGAAAUUUGGGGGGGGGGCACAAUCUGUCCAUAACGGGCGUCAAACAGAAGGAGGGCUGGGCUCCGGGUGACCCAGCCCCAGUGAGGUGACCUAAGACAAUGCCAGUGUCCUCCAGCUGCUGGGAGCGAGGGGCGUUAAGGCACAAGGGAUGAGCCCCGUUGCAAGGCAGUGACGGAGGCAGGGAUAGGAAGGUGCCCAGCGUGUAACUAGAGGAGAAACCAGGUGUGAUUGGUGCCUGAAGAUCAGCCUGAGGGCCACCUCGGAGCCCCCAGGGUGGCCCCUGCCGCCUGACCAAAGGCAGCACCGCCAGUGACCCCGGGGCGGUCUUCAUGCGGCACCCGGACCGGCAGCCAGCUGGAGCAGAGGCCUCGCUUACUAGUAGCUUUUCGGAGAAGUUGCAAAACACUGGGGAGGCCUGUGGGGACCCAGGCCUCUCCACCUUCCCUUUCGUGUAAACAAAGAAGCUGCCAAAAUGGAAAGCUUGCUGCCUCGUCCUUCCUUCAGAGGCCUAUACUGGGGCUAUGCAUCACAUCAGCCGGGCCAGGAGCCCACAGCAGGACCCAGCAGGACCCCACCCGCCAAACGCGCGCGGCCCUUGGUCGACCAUCGGGUCUGGCGAGUGCUGAUGUUUAUUCCAGCUUCAUAAUUAGAGAGGAAUGUUAAGUGUGCCACUCAGCUCUUCCAAAUGCUGGAAAGAUCUGGAACAGUAUAACCCCUCGAGAAAAGCUUAGGAAGGGGAAAGAAAAAGUCCCACAUUUACAAAGAACAUAUUUGGAAAUAACAGAUCACUUCGGUUUGGGACACAUGCAACUUUCCUAGACUGUGUUAGUGUUAUUUAUUUUUUUUUUUUAACAAGGAUCCUCUGAAAAAUCAACCAAAAGAGGUCAGCUGAGAUAUAACUUCAGAAUAAGCGUUAGAAACCGAACAAAGGUGAACAUCUGCACGUGGCGACGGACGAGGAGGAUAGGCCAGGUGUACCAGGAUCUUUUUAUAUGAGCGGCUGCUGGACAAAUGCGAACGUGCGAGCAUACGGCCGUCCCUGUGCGCUCAUUUGUGCCUGGUGCAGAGUUAGUGGAGUGUCCCCUGGAGGGAGGAGUGAUCGCUAGCAGUCGGACACAACCCAGCACGGCCUCAUCGUGCUGCACCAGCCCAGGAAGGUUCUACAUGCCGGUGUUGCUGAGACAGUGACAGAGCGCAAGCAGGGGAGGGGCAGAGAGAGAAGGAGACACAGAAUCCCAAGCAGGUUCCAGGCUCUGAGCUGUCAGCACAGAGCCCGACGCGGGGCUCGAACUCACAAACUGCGAAAUCAUGACCUGAGCCGAAGUCGGACGCUUAACCAACCGAGCCCCCCCCAGGUGCCCCUAUUUAGUUUAAGUAAUCUAUGCGCCCAGCAUGGGCUUCAAACUCGCAACCCCGACAUCAAAUCACGUGCUCUACUGACUGAACCAGCUGGGUGACCCCACAUCAUCUUUCCGUUUUUGAUGUGUAGUGCGAUGCGUAUAACAUCCACGGUGUUUUGUAUCAUAGAGGACGGUAUUGAUGUAGGUGCUCACAGCUCAUCUCACAAACAACGUAAGCUGACGUUAUUGAUAAAUACGCUGCCGUAGUGACAUUUGCUUUAUUGGAAGAGCCCGGUAGAAUAUAUGAUACAUAUAACACACAAAAGACGUGCUUAUCGGCUGUGUUACCAGUAAGGCUUCUGGCCAACAUUAGGCUGUUAGUGGGGAAAUUUUGAGGGUGCCAGAAGUUAUAUGUGGAAUUUGGAUUGUGCGUGGGGGGGGCUGGCACCCCAACUCUUGCGUCGUUCAGGGGUUAACUGUAUAUACAGAAGCAAUUGGGUUUUGAACAUUGACCUGGACCCCGUGAUGUCGGUAAGCUAGUUUGACUCUAACUUGAAAAAAUGUUUUUGGUGGAGUCCUGGGAAUUUUCUAUGUGGAUUAGAAGAUUUAAGUCUAAAAAUUAAUUUCUUUAAUACAUGUUGUGUUGGUCAGGGUUUAUCUUCAUGAAUGAGUUCCGAUAGCUUUUGUUUUUCACGGAACUGGAACACUUCAUCCAAGUUGUUAAAUGUGUAGGGAAGGCGAUGCUUCCAUUCUUACCCUUUUAUUAUUUGUGUGGUCUGAGUGAUGUCCCCUCUUUGAUUUCUGACGUUAGUAAUCUGGGUCUUUUUUUAGGUCUUUGUUGGUCUUGUUAGGUUUUUAUUGAUCUUUUCGAAGAACCAGAUUAAAAAAAAAUUUAACAUUUAAUUUUGAGAGACAGAGAGAGAGUGCAAGCAGGGAAGGGACAGAGAGGAAGAGGGAGACACGGAAUCCAAAGCAGGCUCCAGGCUCCGAGCUGUCAGCACAGAGCCUGAAGCGGAGCUCAAUCUCACGAACCGCGAGGUCAUGGUCUGAGCUGAAGUUGGACGCUUAACCGACGGAGCCACCCAGGCGCCCUGUAUUAUUAUUUUUUUAAGUUUAUUUAUUUAUUUUGAGAAAGAGAUGGGGGGAGGGACAGAGAGAAAGAGAAGGAGAAGGAAUCCCAAGCAGGAUCUGUGUUGUCAGUGCGGAGCCAGAUUCAGGGCUCCAGCUCAAGGGCCGUGAGAUCACGACCUGAGCCGAGAUCAAGAGUCGUUCGCCCACCUGACUGAGCCCCCCCCCCCCCAGGCGCCCCCCGAGCUCACUACUUUUACUCUCAACGUUCUCUUUUUGUUGUUCCCGAAUCCAGUCCAAGAUGCCACGGGGCAUUUGGUCACCCUUUCCCUCCGAUCUGCUCUGGUCUGUGACCGCAUUUCAGCUCUGCCUUGCUUCUCAUGACCUUGACGUCUUGAGGAGCCUCGGCCAGGUGUUUUACAGAGUGCCCCUUAUUUUGAACUUGCCCCAGCCUCCUCAUCAUUAAUCUGGGAUUAUGGUUUCCAGCUUUCUUGUCAUUCGUGCCGCUCAUAGCGUUGGGGUGACAAUGAGUUUCUCUGCCGUUUGCUGUCCUGUUAACUCUCUCCGCCUUGGCUGCCCCUCUGCUUCCCCCCAGCAACGAGCUGUGCCCCCCUCCCCCCAGGGGCUCGCUGUGGGAAAAUUCGUCUUCUGUCUCAGGCUCAGCGUCAAAGCUUCCUCGAGGAGGUGUCCUCCAGCCCUGUCACCCCAGACGGCUGGGGGUUUCCUGAUGACCGCGGCAUUUCAGUGACUGUAGUUGUUUCGUGUCUUCUUCUACUAACCUUAGAAGCACUUGGGUCUUAUCCAUUUUUAUAUUCUCUCUGGCCAGCCUGCACUUCCCGCUCAAAAUGUGGCCCAAGGACCACAGCACGGGCGUCACCUGGCAGCGUGUGGAGUGCAGGUGACCAGGCACCCAGAGCUGCCUAAUCUGGCUCUCACUGUAGACACUACCCGAGGGGAUUCACAUGCUCACCACAGUUUGGGAGUCGUUGAUUUGAUCGGGGCCUCGCUAAAUUUGUGCUGAAUGAGUUAAUAGAUGGCAGUGGGUGUCUUCUUGUCCCGAGUAAUGCAGCUGGGUUGAGCUCCCCUUUGUGCCCCCAAGUCUCCUAGAGGCAAAGACACACGUUUGCAGUGGGCUUCUCAGCCGACGUGCCGUCUGAGGCGAGGGAGUGUUUUGAGUCCCUGCUUCCUCCUGUGCCAGAGAGGACAGUGUCCUGACAUCGCUGGGCUAUCAUGAGUGUUAAAUCGGGUGACAUAUGUGAAAUGCCUUCGCGGGGCACAUGGCAUGGCCUCGACAAAGAUUGGAUUCCACCCCUUCAAGUCACCUUGUUUACUUCCAGUGAGAUUCACUUCUGUUGUAAUCAGUGCAUUUCUUGUUUGAGGCCUUUCCCUCCUGGAUAGAAAUAUAUAGGAAGGGAUGAUAGAAAGCCUUCCGCAGGAAUUUCUGUCCAUGAUAGAAAGUGCACGGGCAUCGGACUACCCGAAUAUUGUACCUAGAAUCGUUCUAAUCCUCCUGAGAUAAUCCAGACUCUGAAUACAUUGGAAUAGACUGGGAAGCUGUUCGACUUUCUCUGUUUCUCAAGAGUUGGCCCUUAAUAUUCUGGAGGGAAAUACUACAAAUAUAGCCACUCAUGACCUUUCAACACCUCCCAUCACAGUAAUCACUUGGUUCGUUGAAAAAUAAACUUCUCCAUCUCCCUUGACACCUUUUGCUUUGUUCUUCAGACUCUUAGAUUAGAUAAGCUGAGGACAGAGGCCAGGUAGCCAUCCCGGUCUCUUCUUGGUGCUCGGGGUCCCCCCUGGUACAUCUGACUCCAGUGUCACUGAGCGGAUCAGGCAGGGUGAGAAGACAGAGGGUCAUUCCUGCCGCUCAGGAGGGGACUUUGAAUAGAGCGGGACUUUCAAUAAUUCCUCACUCUCCUGAUGGAAUGCCAUUGUGUCAUUGUUUGGAGCUUGCUCCGGAAAACAAAUGUGGUGGUUUGACUCACCAAUAUAAAUAUUGUCGAGAAACAAGGUCAUAAAGUUAUAAAAUAUCGGAGCUGGAUGGAAAGGUGCAAUGUUUUGCCCAAAGUCACAAAGCUUAUUUGUGGAUGAGUCAAGGCCAGACCAGCUUUCUGCCUCUCAGUUUGGUUCAGAGCUUUAGAUACUCUGUACCUUAAAGUCAGUGCCCGCCAAGCAGCCGUCUGCCCCCUUUGUCCAGCCUCUGCCACCUGCGGUAGUAAGUAGUCGCUGUGGUAGGCGAUGCGGGAAACCUUCUGCCUGCUGAGAUCCUGGGAUAUUUUAUUUGUAUGGUGAUACAUCCCGGCACCCCUGAGGCAGGAUAUGCGUACCCUAAGUGUAGCUCCAAAGGAUGUAUUUGACUGAAGCUUUCACAAGAGAAGAGCCCGCCUUUCAUUGCAAGACUCUAUACUAUCUUUCUAUUUCAACUCCUUUCUCAUCAGAAUCAUAAUAACGCACAGCCCCCAACAAAUCACGAAGGGGUUACAAUACGCUGCAAGUCUGCCCAGAAGACCUUUGGUCUAAAAUUAGAUGGCUGCCUUCAAGAACCUUCCAUGUCUGAGACUUCUUUUGAGUUUUCCCCAUGGCAGGCUUAGCAGAUCAGAUACAUGUCAAAAUUAUGUUAUCUACAGGUCUUCUAGAAGGAUCGUUAACUUACUUUGUCUCUUUAUUCCGCGUGGUUACUACUUAGUGCUGGGUUUUCUGCUGGGUGCUGGCGACAAAAUACAAGUAGAAGACAGGUCACAUGUUACCUUUGUGGACUGAUGCAGAACAGGGUGUUUGCGUCCGCCCUCUGCACCCAAGUUCAUAUUCACGGCAUUGAGGUCCUAACCUCCAGCAUGGCUCUCCUGUUUGGAGAUGGAACCUCAAGGAAGUAACAAAGGUUGAAUGAGGUCCUAAGGGUGGGGCCCUGAUCCUAUCGGACCAGGGUCCUUCUCAGGAGGCACAGCAGAGCUCUGUCCCUCUCUCUGCCACGUGAAGACACAGUGAGAAGGCGUUGUCCAUGAACCGGGAAGGGGGCUUCCCCAGACCUGGAAGCCACAGCCCCCAGAACGGAGGAGGAAUCAGCACCUGAAGUCUGAGUGGCCCGGUCUGCGGUAUUUGCUGUGGCGGCCUGGCUGGCCAAGAGCGGGGCCCACAGCCUAGUGGGGGAGAUGGAUGUCAGAGUCACCACGUGGGUGCAGAGUGUGCUGCUGGCAAGAGCCAUGGAGGGUGCUGACCUUGACUCAGCUGAGAGUCUGGGAGCCUCCCGGGGACCUGAGAUGGGGCCACGCCCAGAGGGAAGAGGGAUGUAAAACUACUCAACGUUUAGAGCAGGGAGUCAGCCGAUGAGAUGUGUAGACGUUUGCUGGGGCGGCAUAGUGGCUGGCAGAUGGCCAGGGCCCACAGGGGACCCAGCGAGAAGGUUGCCUUCAGAGGGUAGUUUGUGUGGUCUCUGCAGGGACCCUGGCGAUAGCUCUCCACCGUGUCGCGCCCAGCAUUGCCUAAGUGGGGUUUCUUUUUAUUUUAUGUUAUUUUUAAAUAUUUAUUUAUUUUUGAGAGACAGAGAGACAGAGCGUGAAUGGACAGAGAGAGAGAGGGAGACACAGAACCCGAAGCAGGCUCCAGGCUCUGAGCUGUCAGUACAGAGCCCGACUCGAGGCUCAAACUCAGAAACUGCGAGAUCAUGACCUGAGCUGAAGUCGGAUGCUCAACCAACUGAGCCACCCAGGUGCCCCCAGGUAACUCUUAAUAUACAGAGGACACGGUGGGGAAGCUUCGUUGUCUGGGAUACUUCAUCUACUCAAGUAAUGGUCAGCUUCUGCGCAUGGCAUCUGGAACGCCAUUGGCGGUUUCCGUGGUAAUUUUCAUGCUAUCAGUGUUUUUGGCAGCUAUGCUGUAUUUGUUUCAAGCAUCUGUGAAUGUAUAUUCUGUCUUGUCCCCACCUCCCCUGAAAUUUUAAAGUAUCCAUUUAGAGUGUCUGGAUGCUUACAAAAUAAAUAUGUGCAAGGAUA